rnacentral:tRNA from 1 species
UUUAUAUAGUUUAAAUAAAAACAUUACGCUUUCAAUGUAAAAAUAAUAAAAAUAUUUAUAAAU